GACGAACGCUGGCGGCGUGCUUAACACAUGCAAGUCGAACGGAAAGGCCCUGCGUUUGUGGGGUGCUCGAGUGGCGAACGGGUGAGUAACACGUGAGUAACCUGCCCUUGACUUUGGGAUAACUUCAGGAAACUGGGGCUAAUACCGGAUAGGAGCUCCUGCUGCAUGGUGGGGGGUGGAAAGUUUCGGCGGGUGGGGAUGGACUCGCGGCUUAUCAGCUUGCUGGUGGGGUAGUGGCUUACCAAGGCUUUGACGGGUAGCCGGCCUGAGAGGGUGACCGGCCACAUUGGGACUGAGAUACGGCCCAGACUCCUACGGGAGGCAGCAGUGGGGAAUAUUACACAAUGGGCGGAAGCCUGAUGCAGCAACGCCGCGUGCGGGAUGACGGCCUUCGGGUUGUAAACCGCUUUCGCCUGUGACGAAGCGUGAGUGACGGUAAUGGGUAAAGAAGCACCGGCUAACUACGUG
rnacentral:rRNA from 1 species